rnacentral:rRNA from 1 species
CUUNGGAUUGAUCUAAGCCAUGCGAGUCAUUGUAGCAAUACAAGGCAGACGGCUCAGUAACGCGUAGUCAACCUACCCUAUGGACGGGGAUAACCUCGGGAAACUGAGAAUAAUACCCGAUAGAACAUUAUACCUGGAAUGGUUUAUGUUUCAAAUAAUUUAUUGCCGUAGGAUGGGACUGCGGCCUAUCAGUUUGUUGGUGAGGUAAUGGCCCACCAAGACUAUUACAGGUACGGGCUCUGAGAGGAGUAGCCCGGAGAUGGGUACUGAGACACGGACCCAGGCCCUAUGGGGCGCAGCAGGCGAGAAAACUUUGCAAUGUGCGAAAGCACGACAAGGUUAAUCCGAGUGGUUUCUGCUAAAGGAACCUUUUGUCAGUCCUAGAAACACUGAUGAAUAAGGGGUGGGCAAGUUCUGGUGUCAGCCGCCGCGGUAAAACCAGCACCUCAAGUGGUCAGGAUGAUUAUUGGGCCUAAAGCAUCCGUAGCCUGCUUUGUUAGUUUUCGGUUAAAUCCAUACGCUCAACGUAUGGGCUGCCGGGAAUACUGCAAAGCUAGGGAGUGGGAGAGGUAGACGGUACUCGGUAGGAAGGGGUAAAAUCCUUUGAUCUAUUGAUGACCACCUGUGGCGAAGGCGGUCUACCAGAACACGUCCGACGGUGAGGGAUGAAAGCUGGGGGAGCAAACCGGAUUAGAUACCCGGGUAGUCCCAGCUGUAAACUAUGCAAACUCGGUGAUGCAUUGGCUUGAUGCCAAUGCAGUGCCGCAGGGAAGCCGUUAAGUUGCCNCCUGGGAAGU